UAGUCAUAUGCUUGUCUUAAAGAUUAAGCCAUGCAUGUCUAAGUAUAAACAAUUUUGUACUGUGAAACUGCGAAUGGCUCAUUAAAUCAGUUAUAGUUUAUUUGAUAGUACCCUUUACCUACUUGGAUAACCGUGGUAAUUCUAGAGCUAAUACAUGCGAAAAAUCCCGACUAUAUUUAUUUUAUGGAAGGGAUGUAUUUAUUAGAUAAAAAACCAAUAAAUUUGGGGGAAAUUUUUUUAAAGGGCAACCUUUUUAAAAUUUUUUUCAUUUUUUAUAAUUUUUGGUGAUUCAUAAUAACUUCGCGAAUCGUAUGACUUUACGUCGACGAUGAUUCAAUUAAAUUUCUGCCCUAUCAACUUUCGAUGGUAGGAUAUGGGCCUACCAUGGUUGCAACGGGUAACGGAGAAUUAGGGUUCGAUUCCGGAGAGGGAGCCUGAGAAAUGGCUACCACAUCUAAGGGGGGCAGCAGGCGCGCAAAUUACCCAAUCCUGACACAGGGAGGUAGUGACAAGAAAUAACAAUGCAGGGCUUUUAUAAGUCUUGCAAUUGGAAUGAGUACAAUUUAAAUCCCUUAACGAGUAACAAUU
rnacentral:rRNA from 1 species